rnacentral:rRNA from 1 species
CAGUCGCCACGGUAAUACGAAGGGGGCUAGCGUUGUUCGGAAUUACUGGGCGUAAAGGGCGCGUAGGCGGCCAUUCAAGUUAGAUGUGAAAGUCCUGGGCUCAACCUAGGAAUUGCAUUUGAUACUGUUUGGCUUGAGUUCGGGAGAGGUGAGUGGGAUUCCCAGUGUAGAGGUGAAAUUCGUAGAUAUUGGGAAGAACACCAGUGGCGAAGGCGGCUCACUGGACCGACACUGACGCUGAGGCGCGAAAGCGUGGGGAGCAAACAGGAUUAGAUACCCGCGUAGUCCCUGUCUCUUAUAC